rnacentral:lncRNA from 1 species
CGCGUUAGCGGAGACAGUAAACGGGUAUUUGCGACCAUCAAAUCCCAAAUUGAUGCCGUCGGAGCCAAUAUAGUUAUCUCCAUUCUAAUGAAACUGACAGAAAACAACGUUAAAACAUGUAUUUAAAAUCUGUCAUAUGCCGUCUGCGCUUGCGCGUACGUCCCAUAGCAUCAAUUGUCAAUUGAUGCCAUGUAAGAAAGUGACGUUAUCCAAUCAAAAUGAACGUUACAAACGUUGUUGCAUUAG